AGGCCUCUGCCCUCAGUUCGCUUCUUUGGUUUGGUUGUUUUGACACCUAUCAGUGAAACGAUAGUACACGACCAACACGCAACGAACCAAGCUGCUAGCUACACGACAUUGUUAAGUUCUUUGACUCCGCGUCACACAAGAAAGAUGAGACUGCAGCUAGUUGUCCUGGCAUCCUGUGUGUCCGCUGCGUUUGGACUUAUUGUCUGCCCUCCGAAUUACUGUCAAAAUAUAAAUUGCUCAACAGUUACGAAUUUACCUUGCCCCCCGAAUGCAACAUUAGUACCACAUUCAUCAUACUGUGGUUGUUGUGCCGUCUGCAUCACGCAGCUAAACGAGGGAGACCAUUGUUUCAGUCUUUCAAUUCUUGGAGGACCUCCUCAAACUGCAGUGUGCAAAGCCCCGCUUUCUUGUGUCAAUGGCAUUUGUCAAGCAUAAACUAUGACGCCAUCUUGUAAACUCAGUCUCGUUAUGUUCUUCAUAGUUCAACUUGAAAUUAAAGCGGGGAUUUUGUUGCGUGUGGCAUUGUAGUUGACUAUUAUGCAAAAAAACACUGUUCAUAAAAUGAAGUAGUCUAUUUUGUAAAACAACAAAUUAUCUCAAUAAAUGCAAAAAUCAAUGUAUUA